rnacentral:rRNA from 1 species
AUUGAACGCUGGCGGCAGGCCUAACACAUGCAAGUCGAGCGGUAGAGAGGUGCUUGCAUCUCUUGAGAGCGGCGGACGGGUGAGUAAUGCCUAGGAAUCUGCCUAGUGUGGGGGAUAACGUUCGGAAACGGACGCUAAUACCGCAUACGUCCUACGGGAGAAAGCGGGGGAUCUUCGGACCUCGCGCCAUUAGAUGAGCCUAGGUCGGAUUAGCUAGUUGGUGAGGUAAUGGCUCACCAAGGCGACGAUCCGUAACUGGUCUGAGAGGAUGAUCAGUCACACUGGAACUGAGACACGGUCCAGACUCUACGGGAGGCAGCAGUGGGGAAUAUUGGACAAUGGGCGAAAGCCUGAU